UAGGGAAUCUUCGGCAAUGGACGGAAGUCUGACCGAGCAAACGCCGCGUGAGUGAAGAAGGUUUUCGGAUCGUAAAGCUCUGUUGUAAGAGAAGAACGAGUGUGAGAGUGGAAAGUUCACACUGUGACGGUAUCUUACCAGAAAGGGACGGCUAACUACGUGCCAGCAGCCGCGGUAAUACGUAGGUCCCGAGCGUUGUCCGGAUUUAUUGGGCGUAAAGCGAGCGCAGGCGGUUAGAUAAGUCUGAAGUUAAAGGCUGUGGCUUAACCAUAGUACGCUUUGGAAACUGUUUAACCUGAGUGCAAGAGGGGAGAGUGGAAUUCCAUGUGUAGCGGUGAAAUGCGUAGAUAUAUGGAGGAACACCGGUGGCGAAAGCGGCUCUCUGGCUUGUGACUGACGCUGAGGCUCGAAAGCGUGGGGAGCAAACAGGAUUAGAUACCCUGGUAGUCCACGCCGUAAACGAUGAGUGCUAGGUGUUAGACCCUUUCCGGGGUUUAGUGCCGCAGCUAACGCAUUAAGCACUCCGCCUGGGGAGUACGACCGCAAGGUUG
rnacentral:rRNA from 1 species